GACGAACGCUGGCGGCGUGCUUAAUACAUGCAAGUCGAACGGAAAGGCCCUGCUUUUGUGGGGUGCUCGAGUGGCGAACGGGUGAGUAACACGUGAGUAACCUGCCCUUGACUUUGGGAUAACUUCAGGAAACUGGGGCUAAUACCGGAUAGGAGCUCCUGCUGCAUGGUGGGGGUUGGAAAGUUUCGGCGGUUGGGGAUGGACUCGCGGCUUAUCAGCUUGUUGGUGGGGUAGUGGCUUACCAAGGCUUUGACGGGUAGCCGGCCUGAGAGGGUGACCGGCCACAUUGGGACUGAGAUACGGGCGAGACUCCUACGGGAGGCAGCAGCGGGGAAUAGUGCACGAUGGGCGGAAGCAUGAUGCAGCAACGCCGCGGGCGGGAGGACGGCCUUAGGGUUGUAAACCGCUUUCGCCUGUGACGAAGCGUGAGUGACGGUAAUGGGUAAAGAAGCACCGGCUAACUACGUG
rnacentral:rRNA from 1 species